rnacentral:rRNA from 1 species
UUGGAGGUUGUGCCCUUGAGGCGUGGCUUCCGGAGCUAACGCGUUAAGUCGACCGCCUGGGGAGUACGGCCGCAAGGUUAAAACUCAAAUGAAUUGACGGGGGCCCGCACAAGCGGUGGAGCAUGUGGUUUAAUUCGAUGCAACGCGAAGAACCUUACCUACUCUUGACAUCCAGAGAACUUUCCAGAGAUGGAUUGGUGCCUUCGGGAACUCUGAGACAGGUGCUGCAUGGCUGUCGUCAGCUCGUGUUGUGAAAUGUUGGGUUAAGUCCCGCAACGAGCGCAACCCUUAUCCUUUGUUGCCAGCGGUCCGGCCGGGAACUCAAAGGAGACUGCCAGUGAUAAACUGGAGGAAGGUGGGGAUGACGUCAAGUCAUCAUGGCCCUUACGAGUAGGGCUACACACGUGCUACAAUGGCGCAUACAAAGAGAAGCGACCUCGCGAGAGCAAGCGGACCUCAUAAAGUGCGUCGUAGUCCGGAUUGGAGUCUGCAACUCGACUCCAUGAAGUCGGAAUCGCUAGUAAUCGUAGAUCAGAAUGCUACGGUGAAUACGUUCCCGGGCCUUGUACACACCGCCCGUCACACCAUGGGAGUGGGUUGCAAAAGAAGUAGGUAGCUUAACCUUCGGGAGGGCGCUUACCACUUUGUGAUUCAUGACUGGGGUGAAGUCGUAA